GCAAAAGCAGGUUCACAGCAUCAUCUUACAAUCUAGCGUGCUUUAAUGUCGGAGUAGCCCAUAAGGUUAGGAUUAAUUCUCACUCCACCAGUCCUAUGUACUUUUGAAAUAUUUGAAAAUAGAUUUGAGACAAUCAAAAUAUUCACAAGAAUGAGGUAUUCUUUUUGUUGAAAUUAUACCUAGUUUGCAGCAGAAUUUUUUGAGACACCAAGAGCAGAGACUACAAACCACACAACAUUUUUUCUCCCUUUUCAGGUGCCUUCACAUUUCUCUUGCAACCGACAAAUCAACCACUUUCCGCACCUCUGUUAAAGUGCAAACAAGAUGAUCUUCAAAUUUUUUAUUCCGGUCUCUUUUCAAGCAUCAUUCUGAUUUUAUGAAUGAUCUUUUUUCCUUAAUUUUCACAUUCGACACACCUACUAACAUCAUUAGACCCAUGUAUUCUUCAUCUAAAUUAGCAAACAUUUUUCUUCAAAGUCUAAAUUUUUCUCUUCUUUGGAUCAGGUCGAAAAAGAUGUUGAAGGAUGGCUGCAGUUUCGGCUGAUGAAGGAUUUAGGGCGAAGCUCAUUUAAGCUAAAGGUGAAGGCUGGAGUGGUGCCACAUAUUUUUAAUAUUCAGCAAGAGGCAAAUGUGCUGAAAAGGGCCGCUGAAGAUCCCUCAGAGGCUGCUCCUAGUAAAAAGUCCCAUGGUGCAAGUGGAAGCAGAGAACCUCAUUUCAUAGAUGUUUUACCCUUUGCUGAAGAUGAUUCUGAGCAGGGUCCCUCAGGUGCACAAAAGGAUGAACCGUCAACAAAGGAUUUUGGUGUCCAAGUAGAGAAAUUGACUGAAGAUUUUGGUGUCCAAGUAAACAUCAAACCAAAGUUACAGAUUCGGCAUGUCGAGUCAAUGAAUUUCGGGUUCCGAUUGCCACAAAUUCCUGAGGAGCUAAAGCCAGCAUCAUCAUCAUCUUCAAAAGGGAAACACCGCCAAAGGAAGAAAAAUAUUGACCCAAUCUACUCUUAUUCUCAAAAUUCCUCACAGUCAUCUUCUCUCACAGUCAAGAACUCUCAAGGCAAUGAGGCCUCACAAGAGUCAGUCAGUGAGUAUGAGAAGGCGCAUGAGAUGCAGCAGUCUCAAGACUUAAAUAUGAAAUUGAUGUAUCGAAAGUCUAGAUUAUAUUUGGGCAUCCCCAAGGGAGCAAGAGAUCUAAUUCCUCUCUUGGAAAAAUUCACAGGUUUAAGCAAAGUGAAAAUUUUCAUGGCACUUCGUAGGGUGCGUCUCCACGAAUCGACAGAAAUUUUAGGGGAUGUGUUUGGUUUUCACAAAAGCACAGUGUGUAAAUAUUUAAAUGAAUCACUACCACUUUUGGCAGCUUAUCUAAAGAGUUUCAUAUUUUGGCCUAAUGAUAAAAUUAUUCAAACUAAUGUUCCAAUUGCUUUCCGAGCCAACUAUUCUAAGGUCACAGUUAUUAUCGAUUGUUUUGAGGUUGGGAUAGAACAGCCUUCAAACCCGUUACAUCAAGCUUUAACAUGGUCAGAUUACAAAGGUUGUAACACCUUAAAAUUCUUGUAG
rnacentral:lncRNA from 1 species